AACGAACGCUGGCGGCAGGCCUAACACAUGCAAGUCGAACGCCGUAGCAAUACGGAGUGGCAGACGGGUGAGUAACACGUGGGAACGUACCCUUUGGUUCGGAAUAACUCAGGGAAACUUGAGCUAAUACCGGAUAAGCGCGAGAGCGGAAAGAUUUAUCGCCGAAGGAUCGGCCCGCGUCCGAUUAGCUAGUUGGUGAGGUAAUGGCUCACCAAGGCGACGAUCGGUAGCUGGUCUGAGAGGAUGAUCAGCCACACUGGGACUGAGACACGGCCCAGACUCCUACGGGAGGCAGCAGUGGGGAAUAUUGGACAAUGGGCGAAAGCCUGAUGCAGCAACGCCGCGUGUGCGAUGAAGGCCUCGGUCGUAAGACACUUUCUUGAGAGAUGAG
rnacentral:rRNA from 1 species